GUCUGGAUGAAUGUGGUUUCUUUAAUUCUGUAGUUGUCACACUUUCAUUCAACUUGUUUUCUAAUGGUUCUGAGUUAUGGUUGUUCUAUAAUUUAGUUUUAAUUUUGAUGUGAUUAUGGGAGGGCAGAGCUGUGUUUA